rnacentral:lncRNA from 1 species
CCAUAGUCCAUGCAGGGGCUCAUGACCCACAGUCCCAUGACCAAAGUCUGGCUGAUAAGUUAAGGGGUCGCAACCCCAGUAUGUGGAUUUCAGGUUCUCCCCUAGAAACAGGCCACGGUCACUUAGACUUGAUGUGACCACAAUUCCUAUGGUGCAUAGGGAUAUCUCUCGUACAUGCAUACGCUUCACCCUAAAAUGUGGUUUGUUUUCUCGAAACGGUCUAUUAAUAUGCAUGUCGUGUGAUGGUAUAUGGAUGAGAUUUUGGCCCCAUCUCUAAAGGCCACCAUCAUACACAAGGGUCACAUAGUCCCUUGGCUUACUCAUUCGGGUAUAUUUUGACCUCCUCAAGGGAUGACCCAUUAAAACCUUUAUCGGUUUAUACGCUAUGCCCAAGUAAUAUAGGUUUUUCUCAACCAAUUUGUCUAGACCAUCAAGCACAGUCCAAUAUCAACAAAUAUCGUUUGCUUAGUAUGGUCCACGAGAGACCACACUCUCAUUGAAUUCAUGUUCCACUAUAUUAUUUCAUUUUACAAUCACUCCUUUAAUGGUCACACUCACCCAACAAAUUUGGUACUAAUACAUUGACAUUUGCCACAAUGAUGUCCAAAGAACCAUAUGAAAUUGUGAAUGACACCUCAAAUCUCAAGGCUCUCAUUUUAUAUUCACAUCAUCAAACUACUGAUUCAGUGGAACCUUCUCCAUCAUCAAACUAACAAUUUAGUUGAACCUUCUCCUUAAAUUUCGAUUGGUUAACAUCUGUUGUCUCCAAUAAAAUAAGCAUGAGAAAACCAUACCACUCUCAUAAAUUAACUCUCCAACUCAAGAGUAGUAAAAUGCUCUAGAGAGAGUGAGAGAGAGAGAGGCAAUGCUUAUGAAGAAACCGCACUAUCGAUAUAUUAGUUUCCAUGGAAUCUCCACUCCCAAUUUUUUGUUAUUGUUCGCACAUUUUUUUGUUAUUGUUCGCACAUGUCUCAUUAAAAUAGGCGCAACCAAACGUUACUUCAAGGACUUACAAUACUCCACCACAAUUCAAAAAAGGGAAAAUUGUUUCAUGCGGGGCCAGACCGCAUUUCUACAUAUAAGGUUCAAAAAAGUGUAAAGGGUUGUCUACAAAGAGACCAUUUACUUUUGGAUGUGGUUUUUAUAAGAUUGCAAUCUUAAACAAUCCAAUUAAAGUGCACAUCCAAAUUUUAUUAUAACAUGUAAUUUUGGUGUACAAAAUUCUUAAGAUUAUAUGAAAAUCUAUUUUCAUACCUAAUGUUUUUUAUUUAUUUUAUAUAUUCAUAAAUAUUGAUGUUGAGAUGAUCAAUUACAGCAUUUUUCAAUAUUAAAAAAACCUUGAUAGAUCUUUUAGGUGCAUCUUUAUAUAUAUAUAUAUAUAUAUA